AUAAAAUAGUAUUCAUACUCACUUCUAAGUGUGAUCAAGUUCUAGUAUGUGACACACUUAUUUGAAAUAAUAUAUGAAUUCUUUGAAGUUGGCCUUUUGCUUUGUUUAUGUGUUAACAUUUUGUUUUUGUUUGUGAUAUGUAGUUGGACAAUUUCAGGCCCGAGUUUCGAAUCUCAAAAACCUCUGCAAUCUAAAGAAAUCUUCACUUAUUUGUCUUCGUUUCAGCCAUUCGUGAUGACUAAAUAGGUUCUUGGUAGUGGGUAGGGUUCGUAUGUUCUAAGAAUGAUUGGUGGAAAGGGUUCGGUUAGCACUUUUAAUUGAUUGUUCUUGUAUUGCCAUUCAUUUAUUGUUAGAGUUUUUAAAUUUUUUUUUAAUUGUUAUGUCUUAAAAGUGCAUAUAACAAGACUGUAAUGCUCAAAAUGUGACAGGUACAACCUAUUAUGGAAGCGGGAUAUGAGACCCAAUAUUGCUUAGGGAGAUUAAGAUCCCUUCGUUGCAGAAUUCAUCAGUGGCAAAAUGUUAUCAGAUUUGUUGUACCUGCUGGUCAACGUGAUACGCCUCCUUCAAAGUCAACAGUAGUAGCCAGAGUUACGACUUCUGUAGUUAACAUGGAAUUUCUGCAUUGUCUUAAUGCUCAAUAGGGUCAACGUCAAAUGGAAGAGCUCGUCAGUUAAGAAGCGAAGGUUACGAUAGGAAUACUCAGUAGAGAUAUGUGAGUGGUCUGGAUCAAGUUGGGACUUGGGAACUGCUGCUGAUAUAGAAGCCACCACAGCGUGUGGAGACACUGAUCCACUGUAUUUCAACUUCUGAGGCUGAAGAAAUGACUGCAAAACUUGAGGAAUAUUAGAUUAAAAAUCUACCUAGACCUGGACAAGUGGAUUUUUAUCAAUGGAGGCCCCUAUAUGCUAGCAUUUUCAUGAGACGGUCGAUGCAUUCCGAGUGAAAGCAAAUGACAAACGGUGUAAGUGACUCUUUUGUUGGUGCUCUCCUAAUAAAGAUUGUUGACGACCAAUCCAUUUUUAGAGGUACUUGAGAGAUCCAAGACAGUCAUGUUGUCGUAAGAGUAGUGGAAAGGAAGCUUCUUGAGUUGCAACAAGUGUGUAUAUGUGUAUAUAAAAGGAUAAUGUUACGGAAUACUUUAUUUAAUCCAUGAUUUUAAUUAUGUAUUAAUCAUAAAUAGUUUUUAAUAAAACUAACUUUCUUGAGCUCGGGAAGCAAUCCCGGGUG